rnacentral:lncRNA from 1 species
GUUUGUGGAAGCCCUAAACGUGUAUAAUCACUAAAGGGAGAAUUGAAAGUAAGUUUCAAUUCACAAUCGAUAUGAAAGAGUUCUAAUCGCCCACUGCCUCGCUAAAAGGAACCUAAUCGAUCGCACACCGUAUAAGGUAAUGCUUGAAGGAUUUGACGAAAAUGAGUAAGGAAAAUUAAAUGGUUUAAUUGUUUAUGGCAAGAAUUAAUUAAUAUGUUAAUUAAUCAAAUGAAUAAGUUUGUUUUAAAACCUUGAGUUAGUUUUGGGCCUUAAAGCCCAAAUUGGGCUUCGAAUCGUCAAGCCCAUUAGCUUACGUUGUAUGACAACUUAACAAACAAAAUUCAAGAAGCCCAAAACAGCCAAAGGCUUUGGAAAACCGGCCAUAGAGAGAGGAAUGGCCUUUUGGUCCAAAAUGCAUACAAAAGUUGAAAGCAUAGAAGGGGUAUCUUUGCUCCAUCCUCGUUAGGGUUUUCUAAGGAUGAAAAGUAAGAAAAACUCUCUCUCUUUUCUCUCUAGAACAGUCGGCCACCAUGGGAGAGUUUACUAGCAUCUAACUCUUCCAUGGCCACUCAUCUUCUUCCUCAACCAUCCUUGGUGUGGGAACUU